CGAGCGCAUCGCCGCGUUGCUCGCGUACCCCUCCGCGCCUCAUGCUGUGGGCGCUCGAGCCGCAGGGUCGCGUCAGCGCGCCCCGUGUCCCUCCGCGGCUCGGGCCGCCCUCGCUGUGCCCUCCCGGUCCCGCCGCCACCGCAGCAGGUGGCUGGUCACCCGUGUCCUGCCCGGAGCACAUUCCAGCACCAGGGACAUCCCAGGAUGCUUGAGGACAGAAUGUCACCUGAAUGAGCUACGCCCUACACUAACCAGAAGGUGACUGGACAGUUUACAGCUGUGUACUUAUUGAAAGGAAGGCUGAAGAAUCAUUUUUGUUGCAGGAGUAUUUAUGGGAACAACUUCAAUGUCCUACAGCUGGAUCAGCCCUUCCCUUCUGUCCCCAGACUUCAGUCCAGGAGGACCACAAGUGGAGGGACAGCCUGGGGAGCCCCAGCAAGAGAUGAGGCACUUCUAACCCUGAGGCAGAAAAUGUGCCAGACAGGAGAGCCCUGCACUGCCCAACACCAUGGUGUCCCUGCUCCCACUGGAUUCACACACUCAGCACCCUGGAAAGAGGAAGCAUGUGAAGGAUCACAAGUGGAUUUCAGUGGGGUACUCCCUCCUGCAGCCAAGGGUUUCUGUCAAGGAAUGAGUGGAGCUCUGAACACUCCUGGUCUAAUGGAAGGUUCCCUGCCCAUGGCAGGAGGAUCUUUAAGGUCCCUUCCAGCCCGGGCCAUUCUGUGGUAAAGGAUUACUGAUUCCUGUGAAGGAUUGACAGCAGUGCCAGAAGGCAGCUCCACACUUCCUGGUGCCUAGAGAAGGAGCCCUUCCCCUUUUCCCCCAAGUAAGGGUAUCCACCUCUUCCUUCUGUACCUGGAAGUGUUGCAGUGGGAGAGUUAAGCAGUUUGUUUGAUGUAAUCCAAGUCUCAGCAGGUUUGAUCUGGCCCUUGUUUGCCACCACAGCACCCUGGAUUUACAUGUUUAAAACCAAGCCAUGUUCUUUGUGCAGCAGCAUUGGAAGACUGCUGGGGGGGGGAUAAGUUUUACCAUCUUUUCACCUCCCAUUCAAAAAGGACAAAUGGAUUAUAGGAUUGAUCUGUACCAGAAGACACAUUAUUUUUAAAAGCCCCUUUAGAAGGUCCCCCAGUUGGUUUCAGGGUUGUGUAACAGUCCUUUGCCAAUCUAAUGUACCUUUAUAUUUGAUCGUGAAAAAUUUCAUAUCAGAAAAAUGCUCUUUUCCAGACCUAGCUGCAAGGAUAUCUAUUUCCUUCCUCCCUGUACAUUUCCUCCCCUCAUAUUUUAUACAUGCAAAGGCAUAU